rnacentral:misc_RNA from 1 species
UAUCCCCUCGCUUCCCUCCUGUUUGUUAUGAACAAGGGUCGGCCCAGCGCUUGUUGCCGGGCUUGGAAGCGGAUCUGGCUUUCCCACUGCUUCAGUGGGUUUGCCGAAAAGCAGAGGCUAGAGCGAGGACCUGUCAUGGGCUCAACUGGAUAGGUAGAAGCGGUGCUGCAAAGCGCUGCCAAUACACGAAAGUUGGUGCCUUGGACCUCGCUGGCGGCCAGCAGGAAACGAGCGCGCGUGUUGUUGGCACCUUCGGUGCCAGCGGCCGCCGCCGUCUACC